GCGCAGCAGGCGCGAAACCUCCGCAAUGCGGGAAACCGCGACGGGGGACCCCGAGUGCCGUGGCAACGCCACGGCUUUUCCGGAGUGUAAAAAGCUCCGGGAAUAAGGGCUGGGCAAGGCCGGUGGCAGCCGCCGCGGUAAUACCGGCGGCCCGAGUGGUGGCCGCUAUUAUUGGGCCUAAAGCGUCCGUAGCCGGGCCCGUAAGUCCCUGGCGAAAUCCCACGGCUCAACCGUGGGGCUUGCUGGGGAUACUGCGGGUCUUGGGACCGGGAGAGGCGGGGGGUACCCCUGGGGUAGGGGUGAAAUCCUAUAAUCCCCAGGGGGACCGCCAGUGGCGAAGGCGCCCCGCUGGAACGGGUCCGACGGUGAGGGACGAAGGCCAGGGGGAGCAAAACCGGAUUAGAUACCCCCGUAGU
rnacentral:rRNA from 1 species